UUCUGUGUGAUUUGAAGGAAUAAAUAUACCUUAUGCUAAACGAAUAUAAUUUUGAAUAUAAUUAUUAAAAACGAAAUCAGACGAAUUUAAAUUUGGAUAUAAAAUUUAUAUUCUAUCCGACUCGAACCUAAAAUUAUCUUAUAUCUGCAUUAUAUCUAUCUAUCUAUCUAUAUCUAUACAUUACUCUCUAUAAACUUGUCACACGACAACGUUCGCUUCAUUAUUGGAUAUGUCUCAAGUCUUUAAUAUAUUUUUCUUUUUCUUUGCUUGAAUCAGACCAAUCAUUAUUUAGUGUACGCUCUCCCGAAUCGACUCAAAUCCUCCAUAUAUUUUUUUCUUCCUUUCAUUGAAUCAAAUCGGGUUUUUCUCUUUUUUUGAUUGAGCCGAGUCGGACCACCCCUCUGCAUUGGACCGAAUUAUUUAUCUUCUAAAACUUCCUUCAUCGGCAAGAUGAAUUCCACCCCUUAUCGUCAUUUCUUUCAUCGCCGUUUUCUCUUCCUUUGUCGCCGUAUUUUAUUUUUUCCCUAAUUUUCUAUCCGUCGCAUCGCACGAAUUAUUACACUAGUUUUAUAUAAUAUAUAAUAUGAAUUGGGCUUGAAUACUAUUAAUAGUAUUUGAGCUAUUUUGCUAUCGAGUUUUUAACCUUUGGUGAAAAAUUGUAGAAUUAGGAUGAUAGUGGUCUCCUAGGGUUUAGUGGUAAUCCCCUAAGAUUGAGUGGGUGGUUAGCUAAAUAGUAUGAUCUAAAGAAUGAAAUUGAUUAAAGUGUAGAUCUGACAACUAAAAAAUCGAUAGUAGAGCCAAAAAAUUACUAAUAGUAUUCCAACUCAACUCUCUCUCUCUCUAUAUAUAUAUAUAUAUAGAUUUGAUGUUAUAUUUGAAUUUAUAUUUUAAAAUUUUAGAUUUAAUGUAUUAUAUUUUGAAAUGUUGUAAAAAAAAUAAUUGUUUUGGGUUUAGACUCGGGUUUGGGUUUUGAAUUUUUGAUUGAGUUUGGAUUUGGAUAUAGAUUUUUAAAAUACGUCAGAUUCAGAUUUGGGUUCGGAUUUCCGGUUCGGAGUCGGAUUUGCGUUCGGAUAUUUGAAAGAUCCACCCUGAAUCCGAUCUGUUGACAUUCCUAAUU
rnacentral:lncRNA from 1 species